CAUCUCCAGACUGUGGGAGAUUGUGUUUACAGUCACUGGGUGUCUGACACUGAACAUUAAUGUGAUCAGUAAUUGUGUUACUGAUAAACACUGGGGAUUUGUACUGUCUCCUGUCUCUCUGUGUCCUUCACCCUCACUCUCUCUCAUCUCCAGGCUGUGGGAGAUUGUGUUUACAGUCACUGGGUGUCUGACACUGAACAUUAAUGUGAUCAGUAAUUGUGUUACUGAUAAACACUGGGGAUUUGUACCGUCUCCUGUCUCUCUGUGUCCUUCACCCUCACUCUCUCUCAUCUCCAGGCUGACCCGUGUCGGUCUCACAGAUUCUGGUGCCGAGGAUCUCGUCUCCGCUCUCAGUACAAACCCAUCACUGACGGGGCUGAACCUGAGUAAUAAUAAACUGGGAGAUUCAGGAGUGAAACUGGUGUCUGCGGCUCUGAGGAAGUCAGAGUGUAAAAUACAGACACUGUGGCUGUACAAUGUCGGUCUCACAGAUUCUGGUGCCGAGGAUCUCGUCUCCGCUCUCAGUACAAACCCAUCACUGACGGAGCUGAACCUGGGAUCAAACUCUCUGACAGACCGAUCUGUCCCCGCUCUCCGCCGCCUCAUACUGACCCUCCCGAGUCUGAAGCGGAUGGACCUGGGGGUGAAUCGGUUCAGUGAGACCGGGAGGAAGGAACUGAGAUCUCUACAGGAACCCAGACCCGGACUGAUGGUGGAUCAGUGGACAUUUAGCCUUUAACCUUUAUCUUACCUGGAACCCAGACCCGGACUGAUGGUGGAUCUGUGAUCCUGUGAACAUCCCCGCCCGCGGGAUGGGGACAUUUGGCCGACUCCCCGCCCUCCCCUUUAACUCCCGCCCUUACCUUUAACGGCCUCGCGCCUGGUUCAACUUUCAACGGUUUUAACGGACCCGGCUCGGGCCUCGCGCUGUGUGCGUCGCUCGCAGCGGUCCCGCAAUGACGUGUUCCGCCUGUUGUCCGGCGGGACAGCUUCCGCCGGAAGUGCGUGUUGGAGACUCCCCACGUGGCUACCCGGGGAAUUACCCGGACAGGAAGAGCCCGGGGUCCGGGGCUCAGUCUGGGACACCGGUGUCCCGGGGUGGGGGGGGAUGGUCCCGGGAGAGAAUCCUUUUGCCCCCUUUGCUGAGGACGGUGCAUUCGGCAGCCUGGCCGAUAUAAUGAUGUUAAAUGGACAAAUCCCUCGGCAGUGACCCUGGAUCUGCAGCGAUCCCGGACACGGCCCUGAAGUGUGAUUUUAUAAUCAUCGGUUCCCCGAUGCAGAGUGACGGAGAGAAACGGGACUGAUUAUUCAACCGGUCACUCCUUGUCUCCGGUCAGUUAAUUGUGUGUGACUGUGAGUGAGUCGGGAGCAGCUUAUUUAUUCCCGCACGUCAGCAGCUCACACAUUGUUUCAUUUACAUUUGUAAAUUUACUCACACCCGGGACCAGACACAGAGAGAAUUGUCCUCCACACCGGCCCAUCACACAGUCCCGGGGUAGACACAGAGUGAAUCUCCCUCCACACCGGCCCAUCACACAUCCCGGGGUCAGACACAGAGUGAAUCUCCCUCCACACCGUCCCAUCACACACUCCAGGGGUCAGACACAGGGUGAAUCUCCCUCCGCACCGUCCCAUCACACACUCCCGGGGUCAGACACAGAGUGAAUCUCCCUCCACACCGUCCCAUCACACACUCCCGGGGUCAGACACAGAGUGAAUCUCCCUCCACACCGUCCCAUCACACACUCCCGGGGUCAGACACAGAGUGAAUCUCCCUCCACACCGUACCAUCACACACUCCCGGGAUCAGACACAGAGUGAAUCUCCCUCCACACCGUCCCAUCACACACUCCCGGGACCAGACACAGAGAGAAUCUCCCUCCACACCGUCCCAUCACACACUCCCGGGGUCAGACACAGAGUGAAUCUCCCUCCACACCGUCCCAUCACACACUCCCGGGGUCAGACACAGAGUGAAUCUCCCUCCGCACCGUCCCAUCGCACACUCCCGGGGUCAGACACAGAGUGAAUCUCCCUCCACACCGUCCCAUCUCACACUCCCGAGACCAGACACAGAGUGAAUCUCCCUCCUCACCGUCCCAUCACACUCUCCCGGGGUCGGACACAGAGUGAAUCUCCCUCCAAACCGGCCCAUCACACACUCCCGGGGUCAGACACAGAGUGAAUCUCCCUCCACACCGUCCCAUCACACACUCCCGGGGUCAGACACAGAGUGAAUCUCCCUCCGCACCGUCCCAUCUCACACUCCCGGGGUCAGACACAGAGUGAAUCUCCCUCCGCACGGUCACAUCACACACUCCCGGGGUCAGACACAGAGUGAAUCUCCAUCCACACCGUCCCAUCACACACUCCCGGGGUCAGUCACAGAGUGAAUCUCCCUCCGCAUGGUCACAUCACACACUCCCGGGGUCAGUCACAGAGUGAAUCUCCCUCCACACCGUCCCAUCACACACUCCCGGGGUCAGACACAGAGUGAAUCUCCCUCCACACCGUCCCAUCACACACUCCCGGGGUCAGACACAGAGUGAAUCUCCCUCCGCACCGUCCCAUCACACAUCCCGGGGUCAGACACAGAGUGAAUCUCCCUCCGCACCGUCCCAUCACACACUCCCGGGGUCAGACACAGAGAGAAUCUCCCUCCGCACCGUCCCAUCACACACUCCCGGGUUCAGACACAGAGUGAAUCUCCCUCCGCACCGUCCCAUCACACACUCCCGGGGUCAGACACAGAGUGAAUCUCCCUCCACACCGUCCCAUCACACACUCCCAGGGUCAGACACAGAGUGAAUCUCCCUCCACACCGUCCCAUCACACACUCCCGGGAUCAGACACAGAGUGAAUCUCCCUCCACACCGUCCCAUCACACACUCCCGGGAUCAGACACAGAGUGAAUCUCCCUCCACACCGUCCCAUCACACACUCCCGAGGUCAGACACAGAGUGAAUCUCCCUCCACACCGUCCCAUCACACACUCCCGGGGUCAGACACAGAGUGAAUCUCCCUCCACACCGUCCCAUCAUACACUCCCGGGAUCAGACACAGAGUGAAUCUCCCUCCACACCGUCCCAUCACACACUCCCGGGGUCAGAAAGAGAGUGAAUCUCCCUCCACACCGUCCCAUCACACACUCCCGGGGUCAGACACAGAGUGAAUCUCCCUCCACACCGUCCCAUCACACACUCCUGGGGUCAGACACAGAGUGAAUCUCCCUCCACACCGUCCCAUCACACACUCCCGGGGUCAGACACAGAGUGAAUCUCCCUCCACACCGUCCCAUCACACACUCCCGGGGUCAGACACAGAGUGAAUCUCCCUCCUCACCGUCCCCAUCACACACUCCCGGGGUCAGACACAGAGUGAAUCUCCCUCCACACCGUCCCAUCACACACUCCCGGGGUCAGACACAGAGUGAAUCUCCCUCCACACCGUCCCAUCACACACUCCCGGGGUCAGACACAGAGUGAAUCUCCUCCACACCGUCCCAUCACACACUCCCGGGGUCAGACACAGAGUGAAUCUCCCUCCUCACCGUCCCAUCACACACUCCCGGGGUCAGACACAGAGUGAAUCUCCCUCCACACCGUCCCAUCACACACUCCCGGGGUCAGACACAGAGUGAAUCUCCCUCCACACCGUCCCAUCUCACACUCGCGGGGUCAGACACAGAGUGAAUCUCCCUCCACACCGUCCCAUCUCACACUCCCGAGACCAGACACAGAGUGAAUCUCCCUCCUCACCGUCCCAUCACACACUCCCGGGGUCAGACACAGAGUGAAUCUCCCUCCACACCGUCCCAUCUCACACUCCGGGGGUCAGACACAGAGUGAAUCUCCCUCCACACCGUCCCAUCACACACUCCCGGGGUCAGAAAGAGAGUGAAUCUCCCUCCACACCGUCCCAUCACACACUCCCGGGUCAGACACAGAGUGAAUCUCCCUCCACACCGUCCCAUCACACACUCCCGGGGUCAGACACAGAGUGAAUCUCCCUCCUCACCGUCCCAUCACACACUCCCGGGGUCAGACACAGAGUGAAUCUCCCAUAACACACUCCCGGGGUCAGACACAGAGUGAAUCUCCCUCCACACCGUCCCAUCUCACACUCCGGGGGGUCAGACACAGAGUGAAUCUCCCUCCACACCGUCCCAUCACACACUCCCGGGGUCAGACACAGAGUGAAUCUCCCUCCACACCGUCCCAUCACACACUCCCGGGGUCAGAAAGAGAGUGAAUCUCCCUCCACACCGUCCCAUCACACACUCCCGGGGUCAGACACAGAGUGAAUCUCCCUCCACACACGUGGAUGGUGGAUCUGUGAACAUCUGAAUGUGGUGAAUCGGUUCAGUGAGACCGGGAUGAAGGAACUGAGAUCUCUACAGGAACCCAGACCUGGACUGAUGGUGGAUCUGUGAACAUCUGAAUGUGGUGAAUCGGUUCAGUGAGACCGGGAUGAAGGAACUGAGAUCUCUACAGGAACCCAGACCCGGACUGAUGUUGGAUCUGCGAACAUCUGAAUGUGGGGAAUCGGUUCAGUGAGACCGGGAUGAAGGAACUGAGAUCUCUACAGGAACCCAGACCCGGACUGAUGGUGGAUCUGUGAACAUCUGAAUGUGGAGAAUCGGUUCAGUGAGACCGGGAUGAAGGAACUGAGAUCUCUACAGGAACCCAGACCCGGACUGAGAGUGGAUCAGUGGACAUCUGAAUGUGGUGAAUCGGUUCAGUGAGACCGGGGAGAAGGAACUGAGAUCUCUACAGGAACCCAGACCCGGACUGAGAGUGGAUCUGUGAACAUCUGAAUGUGGGGAAUCGGUUCAGUGAGACCGGGAUGAAGGAACUGAGAUCUCUACAGGAACCCAGACCCGGACUGAGAGUGGAUCUGUGAACAUCUGAAUGUGGGGAAUCGGUUCAGUGAGACCGGGAUGAAGGAACUGAGAUCUCUACAGGGACCCAGACCCGGACUGAUGUGUGGAUCUGUGAACAUCUGAAUGUGGUGAAUCGGUUCAGUGAGACCGGGAUGAAGGAACUGAGAUCUCUACAGGAACCCAGACCCGGACUGAUGGUGGAUCUGUGAACAUCUGAAUGUGGUGAAUCGGUUCAGUGAGACCGGGAUGAAGGAACUGAGAUCUCUACAGGAACCCAGACCCGGACUGAUGGUGGAUCUGUGAACAUCUGAAUGUGGUGAAUCGGUUCAGUGAGACCGGGAUGAAGGAACUGAGAUCUCUACAGGAACCCAGACCCGGACUGAUGGUGGAUCUGUGAACAUCUGAAUGUGGGGAAUCGGUUCAGUGAGACCGGGAUGAAGGAACUGAGAUCUCUGCAGGAACCCAGACCCGGACUGAGAGUGGAUCUGAAUGUGUGAACAUCCCCGCCCGCGGGAUGGGGACAUUUGGCCGACUCCCCGCCCUCCCCUUUAACUCCCGCCCUUACCUUUAACGGCCGCGCGCCUGGUUCAACUUUCAACGGUUUUAACGGACCCGGCUCGGGCCUCGCGCUGUGUGCGUCGCUCGCAGCGGGUCCCGCAGUGACGUGUUUCCGCCUGUUGUCCGGCGGGACAGCUUUCGCCGGAAGUGCGUGUUGGAGACUCCCCACGUGGCACCCCGGGGGAAUUACCCCGGACAGGAAGAGCCCGGGGUCCGGGGCUCAGUCUGGGACACCGGUGUCCCGGGGUGGGGGGGAUGGUCCUGGGAGAGAAUCCUUUUGCCCCCUUUUGCUGAGGACGGUGCAUUCGGCAGCCUGGCCGAUAUAAUGAUGUUAAAUGGACAAAUCCCUCGGCAGUGACCCUGGAUCUGCAGCGAUCCCGGACACGGCCCUGAAGUGUGAUUUUAUAAUCAUCGGUUCCCCGAUGCAGAGUGACGGUGAGAAACGGGACUGAUUAUUCAAACUGUCACUCCCUGUCGCCGGUCAGUUAAUUGUGUGUGACUGUGAGUGAGUCGGGAGCAGCUUAUUUAUUCCGCACGUCAGCAGCUCACACAUUGUUUAAUUUGCAUUGAUCAUAAUGGAAUCAAUAAACCGCUGUAACUUCC